rnacentral:rRNA from 1 species
CGUUGUCCGGAUUUAUUGGGCGUAAAGAGCGUGUAGGCGGCCAGGUAGGUCCGUUGUGAAAACUCGAGGCUCAACCUCGAGACGUCGAUGGAAACCAUCUGGCUAGAGUCCGGAAGAGGAGAGUGGAAUUCCUGGUGUAGCGGUGAAAUGCGCAGAUAUCAGGAAGAACACCUAUGGCGAAGGCAGCUCUCUGGGACGGUACUGACGCUGAGACGCGAAAGCGUGGGGAGCGAACAGG